GUAUGUUUCUCACCUCGUUAAUCAGAACUCAGCAUUUCUUUUUAAACUAGGGAAUUUCCACUUGCUGAAUUCACUGACUAGACAUAGGAUUCAUCUGAGAUGGAAUCUCUGGACAAAAUGGAGUCCUGAAAGAAAUGCCCUUAGUUUAAAUUGAAGACUCUACUAUUGGUUUGUUCCUGAAAUGUUGUGAUUUAAGAAAGUUCAUGUGAGGUGAAAGAGAACAAGAAGAAGAAACAGACAGCAAUUAAGACACACUGCCAAACAUCUGGAGGAGAGAGGAAAAGAAUUAUGGGAAACCAGAUGGAAAGAGUGCUGGCCAGAUAAAAAUGACAGCAAAGUUUCUUCAGAAUGCUGAAUUUGCUGCCUCCUCUGAAACUUUAAUCUGCCAGGGUGAAAUGAAAACAGG
rnacentral:lncRNA from 1 species